rnacentral:rRNA from 1 species
CAGUCGCCGCGGGAAUACGUAGGUGGCAAGCGUUGUCCGGAAUUAUUGGGCGUAAAGCGCACGCAGGCGGAUCGGUCAGUCUGUCUUAAAAGUUCGGGGCUUAACCCCGUGAUGGGAUGGAAACUGCCAAUCUAGAGUAUCGGAGAGGAAAGUGGAAUUCCUAGUGUAGCGGUGAAAUGCGUAGAUAUUAGGAAGAACACCAGUGGCGAAGGCGACUUUCUGGACGAAAACUGACGCUGAGGCGCGAAAGCCAGGGGAGCGAACGGGAUUAGAUACCCCCAGUAGUCCCUGUCUCUUAUAC